GGGUGGUUAGCUCAGUGGUAGAGCACUGCCUUCACACGGCAGGGGUCACUGGUUCGAGCCCAGUACUACCCACCA
rnacentral:tRNA from 1 species